rnacentral:rRNA from 1 species
GACGAACGCUGGCGGCGUGCUUAACACAUGCAAGUCGAACGGUGAAGCGCCUUCCUUUUUGGUGGGUGUGGAUGAGUGGCGAACGGGUGAGUAACACGUGAGUAACCUGCCCCCUUCUUCUGGAUAACCGCAUGAAAGUGUGGCUAAUACGGGAUAUUCUGGUUCUGUCGCAUGAUGGGUCUGGGAAAGAUAUUGUUUCGGUGGGGGAUGGGCUCGCGGCCUAUCAGCUUGUUGGGGGGGUGAUGGCCUACCAAGGCGGUGCCGGGUAGCCGGCCUGAGAGGGUGGACGGUCACACUGGGACUGAGACACGGCCCAGACUCAUACGGGAGGCAGAAGUGGGGAAUAUUGCACAAUGGGCGCAAGCCUGAUGCAGCGACGCCGCGUGAGGGAUGGAGGCCUUCGGGUUGUGAACCUCUUUCGCCAGUGAAGCAGGCCUGCCUCGUUUGUGGGUGGGUUGACGGUAGCUGGAGAAGAAGCGCCGGCUAACUACGUG